AUUGAUGUUAUCUCACCCUUCAUGACCAGCAUCUCAGUGUGGACGGAGAUCAGGGCGGAGGUCCAACAUACGCCUCUAUUGUCCUGUAUGAGGGACAGAGGAGCGUGGCUACAGCACAGGAUGAGGACGGUUCCAGCGAUGCAGUGACCUACUCCUCAGUGAGAGCCUCUCCCAGAUGUGGAGAGAAGGCUGGUGGGGACGUACACUACGCCACCGUCAACAAACGGGCAUAAUAACAAAACAUCUGUAGAUGAGUUCAGGAUGAAACAGAGCCAGCAGCAGCAGCAACCGGCAGUAGCAAUUAAGGUUGUAUUCAAGUUUAGUAUAUUAAUAGUAAAAAUAAAAUAAAUUGGAUCAAUAGUCUUCUGAAUGAAUUGCUGAAUUUUCAUAUGAGAGAAGAUAAGAGGGAAAUGUAAACUGGAAAACCUACAAUUGCUGAAGAAAUUGUACUUCACUUCCAUUACAUGCUUAUAUGUGUGUAUAUUUGUGUGUUUAUCUAUGUGUACAUUACGUUCCUGUAUUUGUACGUAUGUAUACUUAUGUGUACGUAUGUUUGUGAUGUUAUGCGAUGAAUGUAUGAACUAGUUCUAUGGUACCAGCAGUUAAUUUCCGACCACUUUGUGAGCUCAGCUUGUCAUGUCUGCAGUGUUGGGGAGUAACGGAAUACAUAUACCGGCGGGGGUCAUCCCUAUGUUCCCCGGCCUAUGUUCCCCGGGUCCUAUGUUCCCCGCGUCCUAUGUUCCCCAGGGCCUAUGUUCCCGGGUCCUAUGUUCC
ensembl:lncRNA